UUCCCCUGAGUUUCCCUCAGGAUAGCGGAGCCCGGUGCGAGUUCUAAUCGGGUAAAGCCGAAUGCUAGAGCAGUCGGGGGGCGCAACGCCUCGGACCUAUUUCAAACUUUAAAUAGGUAGGACGGCGCGGCUGCUUUGUUGAGCCGCGCCAACGGAAUCGAGAGCUCCAAGUGGGCCAUUUUUGGUAAGGCAGAACUGGCGGAUGCGGGAUGAACGGAAGCGGGUUACGGUGCCGAAACUGCGCGCUACCUAGAACCCACAAAGGGUGUUGGUCGAUUAAGACAGAGGCGGGGUCAUGGAAGUCGAAAUCCGCUAAGGAGUGUGUAACACUCACGCUGCGAAUCAACUAGCCCGAAAGGAUGGCGCUUAAGCCGCGCGACUACACCCCGGCCGUCGAGGCAAGUGCCAGGCCCGAGAUGAGUGGAGGGCGCGGCGGUCGCUGCAAACCUUGGGCGUGAGCCCGGGCGGAGCGGCCGUCGGUG
rnacentral:ncRNA from 1 species